rnacentral:lncRNA from 1 species
UGGGUCGGCUACCGGACCUCUGGGUUUAGUCGGUCGGGAAUGGACCGUGGAAUGGCCGCAGUUAGCCGCUGAUGGCGUCCGUCUGCCUGUCGCCCGACUUACGAUCGGCCAGUCAGAGUCGUCCGUCGGGCCGUUGGUUAGUCGGUCGGGCUGCCAGCCGGUCGGGUCCUCCGAUAGUCGGUCGGUCGGUCGGGCCGCCAGCCGGUCGGGCCCUCCGAUAGUCGAUCGGUCGGU